UAAAUGGGUGAGAAGUCCGCCUUUCCCGACCGAAGGCCGGACGNNNCGGAUGAGAAUGCUAAGUGGGCCACUUUUGGUAAGCAGAACUGGCGCUGUGGGAUGAACCAAAUGCCGGGUUACGGCACCCGAUGCGAGACGCUCAUGAGACCCCAUGAAAGGUGUUGGUUGCUUAAGACAGCAGGACGGUGGUCAUGGAAGUCGAAAUCCGCUAAGGAGUGUGUAACAACUCACCUGCCGAAGCAACUAGCCCUGAAAAUGGAUGGCGCUUCAGCGUUGAGCCCAUACCCGGCCACCGUGGCAGAGCUCCUUUGGAAGGGAGGCUUAGGCCACGGAGAGUAGGAGGGUUGCGGCGGGGUGCGUGGAAGGUGCCGGGCGCGAGCCCGCCUAGANUCCCCGCCGGUGCAGAUCUUGGNNNUAGUAGCAAAUACUCAAGUGAGANCCUUGAGGACUGAANNCGGAGAAGGGUUCNAUGUGAACAGCAGUUGAACNUGGGUNAGUCGGCCCUNAGGGAUCGNAGAAAUCCGUUCCGAGGCGGGACCUUANNNUAAAGCAGUCCCACUGCNACCCGAAUGGGAAUGGGGUCAANAUUCCCCAACCCNGACANGGAGANNGGGCCCUCGGGCCCNANUGCGGNAANGCAANCGANCUCGGAGAAGUCGACGGAGGA
rnacentral:rRNA from 1 species